AUUGAACGCUGGCGGCAUGCUUUACACAUGCAAGUCGAACGGCAGCGCGGGCUUCGGCCUGGCGGCGAGUGGCGAACGGGUGAGUAAUACAUCGGAACGUGCCCAGUAGUGGGGGAUAGCUCUGCGAAAGCCGGAUUAAUACCGCAUACGACCUGAGGGUGAAAGCGGGGGAUCUUCGGACCUCGCGCUAUUGGAGCGGCCGAUGGCAGAUUAGCUAGUUGGUGGGGUAAAGGCCUACCAAGGCGACGAUCUGUAGCUGGUCUGAGAGGACGACCAGCCACACUGGGACUGAGACACGGCCCAGACUCCUACGGGAGGCAGCAGUGGGGAAUUUUGGACAAUGGGCGAAAGCCUGAUCCAGCAAUGCCGCGUGUGUGAUGAAGGCCUUCGGGUUGUAAAGCACUUUUGGCGGGAACGAAAAGGACUGUGCCAAUACCACGGUUCGAUGACGGUACCCGCAGAAUAAGCACCGGCUAACUACGUG
rnacentral:rRNA from 1 species